rnacentral:rRNA from 2 species
CUCCUGGAUUAGUGGCGAACGGGUGAGUAACACGUGAGUAACCUGCCCUUGACUCUGGGAUAAGCCUGGGAAACUGGGUCUAAUACCGGAUAUGACCUUCCAUCGCAUGGUGGUUGGUGGAAAGCUUUUGUGGUUUUGGAUGGACUCGCGGCCUAUCAGCUUGUUGGUGGGGUAAUGGCCUACCAAGGCGACGACGGGUAGCCGGCCUGAGAGGGUGACCGGCCACACUGGGACUGAGACACGGCCCAGACUCCUACGGGAGGCAGCAGUGGGGAAUAUUGCACAAUGGGCGCAAGCCUGAUGCAGCGACGCCGCGUGAGGGAUGACGGCCUUCGGGUUGUAAACCUCUUUCAGUAGGGAAGAAGCGAAAGUGACGGUACCUGCAGAAGAAGCGCCGGCUAACUACGUGCCAGCAGCCGCGGUAAUACGUAGGGCGCAAGCGUUAUCCGGAAUUAUUGGGCGUAAAGAGCUCGUAGGCGGUUUGUCGCGUCUGCCGUGAAAGUCCGGGGCUCAACUCCGGAUCUGCGGUGGGUACGGGCAGACUAGAGUGAUGUAGGGGAGACUGGAAUUCCUGGUGUAGCGGUGAAAUGCGCAGAUAUCAGGAGGAACACCGAUGGCGAAGGCAGGUCUCUGGGCAUUAACUGACGCUGAGGAGCGAAAGCAUGGGGAGCGAACAGGAUUAGAUACCCUGGUAGUCCAUGCCGU